GACGAACGCUGGCGGCGUGCUUAACACAUGCAAGUCGAACGCUGAAGCUCAGCUUUUGUUGGGUGGAUGAGUGGCGAACGGGUGAGUAACACGUGAGUAACCUGCCUCCUUCUUUGGGAUAACGCCCGGAAACGGGUGCUAAUACUGGAUAUUCACUGGUCUUCGCAUGGGGGUUGGUGGAAAGGGUUUUUCUGGUGGGGGAUGGGCUCGCGGCCUAUCAGCUUGUUGGUGGGGUGAUGGCCUACCAAGGCUUUGACGGGUAGCCGGCCUGAGAGGGUGACCGGUCACAUGGGGACUGAGAUACGGCCCAGCCUCCUCCGGGAGGCGGCAGGGGGGAUUAUUGCACAAGGGGCGCAAGCCGGAUGCAGCGCCGCCGCGGGGGGGAUGGGGGCCUUCGGGUUGGGAACCUCUUUCGCUCAUGGUAAAGCCGAAACAAUGGUUGUGGGGAGGUUGGGGGGUAAAGAAGCGCCGGCUAACUACGUG
rnacentral:rRNA from 1 species